GCUUUCGUGGUGUAACGGUAGCACAUUCGGCACGCAUUCGAGAGGUCCAGGUUCGAAUCCCGGCGAAAGCA
rnacentral:tRNA from 1 species